GAGUAUUUUAAAUAUGGAACCAUGUCUAUAGAUGGAAGGGUGUGCAGAAGCCAAGGUGCAGCAGCGAUAUCUUUCUUGCCACUUAGCUGCGUGAUCAGCAUCAACGUCGCCAUCAGCACAACAUCAAGCAUCGACAUUAAUUUCGGAUGUUUAGGUUUCGUUUUGGAACACUGCGCAAAUUUGGUCAAAUCUGGCCGAAAACCGUGGCUUGAGGUUGUUGAUUGAUGAAUCGUGCACUAAAAAUUAUCAUGUUCUAAAACAUCAUGAAAAGCAAAUACUC
rnacentral:sRNA from 1 species